UUUUGGCGAGGUACCCACGAGAAGACUAUAGGGUCUGGAGUGGCGAACCAAUAGGGGAUUACACGAUGAGAAGUGGUUAUAGGAGGUUAAUAAUGGAAGAUCCUAGUCUAACUACAGAUGAUGCUGAAAAUACAGUAAUAAAAUUUUACAAAAAUCUAUGACAGACAGAUCUUCUUGGAAAAGUGAAAAUAAGAAACUGGAAAGUCUAGAUUAACUUCAUUCCUACUUUUGACAAUCUACAGUUCAAAACAGUGAGUAAUUCCGCUCUAUGCUUUCGGUGCAGUGGAGGCUCAGAAUCACUAGAACACUUUUUUAGGGACUGUCUUGCAAUUCAAGGAAUUUGGAAUACGUUAGGAUUUCAGGGGUUUGAUGAAGAAGAAAACAUGAAUUUCCAACAGUGGUUAGAGGGAAUGCUUACAAAGCUGACAUACUGUCAAAAAAAGCCUCUUCUGUAGCAUCUGGGCUAUUUGAUUGGGACAGAAUAAGGCACUGCAUGAAGGGAUUCAUCAGACAGUAAUAGAAACAAUGAAGUUUAUUCAAACAUAUCUAGGAGAAUGGGAAAUGGCUAAUAAUAACUUACCUGGCCAUCGGAUCGAGGAUCAAUGAAGGCCACCGGAGAGAAAUACAGUAAAAAUAAACUUCAAUAGAGUCUUUGAUAAUCAGAUGCAAAAAUUAGGCUCGACUAUAGUGGGUAGAGAUUUGAGGGGGUUUUCUGGGAUCCAGACUAAUGCUGAAUAAUCAAGUACCUACGCCUUUUUUGGUAGAGGCGGUGGCCUGUUUACAGGUUGUACAGUGGGGAAUAGAAAAGGGAUAUCGCCGAGUAGUGAUCGAAGGGGACGCUUUUAGGAAAUGCAAUUUGGCGUUUUGAUUUUCUAUGGAAGAGCAAGGUACUUGGUCUUUUGAGAAGCUGGGCAUUGGGGGUAUCAAAAUAGGGACUAGGUUUUUUAGGAAGGUUUUGUUUUGUUUGGGCUAGGGUAGAAGUAGUUUGUUUUUUUCGGUUUGGUUUUUUAGUUUGUUUACUAUUUU
rnacentral:lncRNA from 1 species